rnacentral:rRNA from 1 species
AUUGAACGCUGGCGGCAGGCCUAACACAUGCAAGUCGAGCGGAUGAGGGAAGCUUGCUUCCUGAUUUAGCGGCGGACGGGUGAGUAAUGCCUAGGAAUCUGCCUAUUAGUGGGGGAUAACGUUCCGAAAGGAACGCUAAUACCGCAUACGUCCUACGGGAGAAAGUGGGGGAUCUUCGGACCUCACGCUAAUAGAUGAGCCUAGGUCGGAUUAGCUAGUUGGUGAGGUAACGGCUCACCAAGGCGACGAUCCGUAGCUGGUCUGAGAGGAUGAUCAGCCACACUGGAACUGCGACACGUUCCAGACUCCUACGGGAGGCAGCAGUGGGGAAUAUUGGACAAUGGGCGAAAGCCUGAUCCAGCCAUGCCGCGUGUGUGAAGAAGGUCUUCGGAUUGUAAAGCACUUUAAGUUGGGAGGAAGGGCUGUAAGCUAAUAUCUUGCAGCUUUGACGUUACCAACAGAAUAAGCACCGGCUAACUCUGUGCCAGCAGCCGCCGUAACAC